GACGAACGCUGGCGGCGUGCCUAAUACAUGCAAGUCGAACGAGUGGCGGACGGGUGAGUAAUGUAUGGGGAUCUGCCCGAUAGAGGGGGAUAACUACUGGAAACGGUGGCUAAUACCGCAUACUAUCGGAUGAACCCAUAUGGGAUUAGCUAGUAGGUGGGGUAAAGGCUCACCUAGGCGACGAUCUCUAGCUGGGCUGAGAGGAUGAUCAGCCACCAUGGGACUGAUAGCCGGCCACGCCUACUCCGAGAGGCAGCAGUGGGGAAUAUUGCACAAUGGGCGCAAGCCUGAGGCAGCCAUGCCGCGUGUAUGAAGAAGGCCUUAGGGUUGUAAAGUACGUUCAGCGGGGAGGCGUUACCCGCAGAAGAAGCACCGGCUAACUCCGUGCCAGCAGCCGCGGUAAUAC
rnacentral:rRNA from 1 species